CGAGAAUCUUCCGCAAUGCGCGCAAGCGUGACGGAGCGACGCCGCGUGGGCGAUGAAGGCCUUCGGGUUGUAAAGCCCUGUUAGCUACUAUGAACCGCGGGUGGUGAAUAGCCAUCCCGUCUGACGUAAGUAGCAAAGAAAGCACCGGCUAACUACGUGCCAGCAGCCGCGGUAAUACGUAGGGUGCUAACGUUGUUCGGAAUCACUGGGCAUAAAGAGCGCGUAGGCGGUCUGAUAAGUCAGGUGUGAAAUCCCCCGGCUCAACCGGGGAACUGCACCUGAUACUGUUGGGCUUGAGUGCAGGAGGGGAGAGCGGAAUUCCUGGUGGAGCGGUGAAAUGCGUAGAUAUCAGGAGGAACGCCGGCGGCGAAAGCGGCUCUCUGGUCUGUUACUGACGCUGAGGCGCGAAAGCUAGGGGAGCAAA
rnacentral:rRNA from 1 species